rnacentral:rRNA from 1 species
GAACAACCCGCCGAAAGGCGGGCUAAACCCGCGUACAUGCCACCGGGGCAUCCCGGAGGCAGGAAAGGCUUCGCCGGACAGGGAUGGGCAUGCGGCGCAUUAGGCAGUAGGCGGGGUAACGGCCCACCUAACCGACGAUGCGUAGGGGUUCUGAGAGGAAGGUCCCCCACACUGGUACUGAGACACGGACCAGACUCCUACGGGAGGCAGCAGUGAGGAAUAUUGGUCAAUGGUCGGGAGACUGAACCAGCCAAGCCGCGUGAGGGAUGAAGGUACAGAGUAUCGUAAACCUCUUUUGUCAGGGAACAAAGGCGGGGACGUGUCCCCGGAUGAGUGUACCUGAAGAAAAAGCAUCGGCUAACUCCGUGCCAGCAGCCGCGGUAAUACGGAGGAUGCGAGCGUUAUCCGGAUUUAUUGGGUUUAAAGGGUGCGCAGGCGGUCUGUUAAGUCAGCGGUCAAAGCCCGGGGCUCAACCCCGGCCCGCCGUUGAAACUGGCAGUCUCGAGUUGGAGAGAAGUAUGCGGAAUGCGCGGUGUAGCGGUGAAAUGCAUAGAUAUCGCGCAGAACUCCGAUUGCGAAGGCAGCAUGCCGGCUCCACACUGACGCUGAGGCACGAAAGCGUGGGUAUCGAACAGGAUUAGAUACCCUGGUAGUCCACGCAGUAAACG